GCACCGAAGAGCUCCCCAGGUUCAAGGUGACAGCGUCUCUCCGCUUGGCUUCCAGCACAGUGUAGACAUUGAGAAUCCGGAUGUUGCCUCGCAGAGGAAGGGACUGUCACACCCACCAUAGUGGACUCCUUGAAGCUAAGCCUCUGCCCCAGUAAGACCCCUGAUCCACCCCAACUAAUCUCAUGGUCUUCCACAGUCUGAAGGGCUUAGAAGAUCAGGCUUGGGCUGAGGAUAUGGCUCAGUUGGUAGAGCGCUUGCCUAGCAUGCAUGAAGCCCAGGGUUUGGUCUCCAGUGCUACAUCAACUGGGCAUGGGAGUGCACACCUGUGAUCCACGCUUUUGGAGGCAAAGGCAGGAGGAUCCGAAGUUCAAGGUCAUCCUCAGCUAUAAAUGAACUUGUCUACUCCAGACCCUGCCGCAAAGCAAACAGGCUGGAGUUGAGCUCAUCUGGACCCAGUGCUCUUUCUGCCUCUCUGUGGCUUCAGGCAAGUCCCAGGAUCUCUGGGGCCUCCAUCUCUUCAUUUCUACCGACACCUGCUGCAGCUCCUCAGCCCUCGGUGCCUUCCGAUGGAUCACGGGCCGCUCAGCCCGCACCUCCUGGCAAUCAUCACAACAGCCUUCUGCGGCUUUGUUACUGAGAGGAGAACAAGAGAAGUAAAUGUUCCUAGUUACUGAAGAAGACGUUGGUAAAAGGAAACCAGGAGGCAGAAAAUUCACAAUCCAUCGGUAGGAGCUUCACCCACUUCCCGUUUGGAGGAGAAGAAGAGGGAGGCUGGGAAAGCCCACUACUCACUAGUAACUACCAAUGAGAUUCAGUACAGGACCAAAAAUAGAAGCCUUCCCAGGAAAGUGUUUCACAGUGCCACGCCAAAGAGGAAAGAAAAAAGAAUUAACAUAGGGAAGCCAUUUAAAGCAGGAAAAAUAUUUGUAUGUAAAGGGAAAUAUUUUAGGCAGGAGUUGAAUGCCAAAUGAUUUUGGGUCUCUGUAGGGAGUAAUGAGGCAUAGACACACAAUGCUGUAUGCAUGUGAUAUUAUCUUCGACCGCCUUGGAAAGCUCUUAAAUCACGAAGAUGCAGUUAGGGACCAUUGUACAAAAUAAACAUCCCACUUGGUGUCCCGCCUGCCCCUAAGUUCCCUGAUCUAGAGCAGCACUGGCAGAUUUUUACAGCCCUGUAAAUUAACGUGGUGCUGAUUUGAUUGAGCUAAAUUAAUAAGACUUGUGCUUUGUUGCAAAAUAACUAUUACAGUAUGUUGUGAGGACGCGCUGCCGAUAAGGAAAUUGCCGCCUUUAACAAUCCCACUGAAGUUUCAUGGAGGAUUUCAAAACCGAUUUUAAUUAAAACAAAAGCCGAUGUGUGGUAAUAAUGUGGAUGUUAAGGAUAGAAAAUGUGAAAUGCCUUUUUAAAUCCAUUUUAAUAUGUCUUAAGGACUGGAUGAUGAAUGGGCUAGGAGCCUGCGGCUGACAUCGAGCCGGGAGGCUGCCUGGGCAACUAGCUUGAGUGACUUCAGCACCCGGCACACCCGCAGGGCCUGUGCCACGGCUCAGCUUCUGGGCUGGGGUGGCCUCCCAAGGUGGAGCUGCAGGGGGAUGACCCUUUUCACAGUCCCGAUGACCUUGGCACCUGGUUCUCCUGGCUUCGUUGACUGUGCCACAGGCCAAUGGGCCUGCAGUCCUCUGGAGGCCCUGUCUAAAGACUUUCCAAAACGCUUAAGUCACCACAGGGACCUCAGAGGCACAGGGUUUGAAAUGAGCAGCCAAUGGCAUAUGGGAGCAGGAGGAAGGCUGUGUCCUGAAGCGCAGGGGUCAGUGAAGAAACCCUGGCAUACGCAGCAGAGGCCUGGAUCCACAGUGAAGAUUGCGCUGAGACUCAGUGCCAAAGCCACUGUGUGUCCCGGGUGAGGGGAGACCUCAGACUUUGAAGAGGCACGCCUUCGAGACCCACUCUUAACUCUUAAGUCUCAGGCUCCUAUGAUCUCGGUGUCCUCGGCUGUAAAAUGAGAACAAUGAUCGGAUUUACUGCACACAGCUGGCGUGAGGAUUAACAAGCUGAAAACAAAAAGGCCAGGACAUUCCAGAGCCUGUUCCAUAAUGUGGAGUUCUAUGUCUUUGAUGCACCUUCCUUCAAUGGGUAAAUGGAACUCCUCUCCCUGAGUGGGGGCCUGCUCCAGUCACAUGUUGCCCAUGGUCAGAAUAAAGUGGAAGUGGUGAUGGUGACCUCGGAAACUGGGCUGUAAAAGGCACAGAGUCUCCUUUAUUUUUAUUUUGGAUCUUUUGUCCUGGGGGAAGCCAGUCUUUGUGCACACUCAAGCUGGAGAUACUGCCCCAGGAUGAAGGAUCCCACAUACACAAAGGAGAAACAACCUCCUUUUCUUCCUUUACUAAACAGCAUUCCCAUGGAAACCUGACCUGGGUGCUUAGCAAUGACCAAGGCGGCCUUCUCUUCACCUGGACACCUGGCCUUCCAGUCCUCAUGUUUGAAAUCACUCAAUAAGAAGCACUGGCCUAGAGGGGCUUCCCUCUGUGGUGAUUAGCAGUUAAUGCAGAGUGUUACUGUCCAGGCUCUGAGAAUACAUGUCUGUUGAGUGCUCAGCCCUAAAUGGGACAUCUAUAUCUACUUCCCCACCCCAAGCCUCAGGGGACAUUGAGGAAGAGGGACAGAGAGAACAUAAGAGCCAGAGGAUGGGGAGGAUGCUGUGAAAUGCUAAUCUGGGGACAUGGCAUGGACAUUGUACCCACGAACUCACCGUAGCCCAAGAUCAAACCCAUGAAAUCAGCCAACAUUCCAACCAGCAGCAGUAAUUGGACACAGUGGCUUAUCCAUUAAAAAAGGAGAGGACUUGAGGUGGGUGUGGGAUAUGUUGGGGUUCCUGGUGGGGAGAAGAAGGGAGAAUUUGGAGAUGGAUAUGAUGAAGACACGUUGAUUACAUGUAUGAAGUUGUCAAAGAAUAAGUAAAAACUAUUUAAGAAAG